GCGGGUGUAGCACAGUGGUAGUGCACUUGCUUGCCAAGCAAGAUACGACGGUCCGAUUCCGUUCACCCGCUCCA
rnacentral:tRNA from 1 species